UACGGGGGGGGCAAGCGUUGUUCGGAAUUACUGGGCGUAAAGGGCGCGUAGGCGGCCUUCUAAGUCGGACGUGAAAUCCCUCGGCUUAACCGAGGAACUGCGUCCGAUACUGAAAGGCUUGAAUCCGGGAGAGGGAUGUGGAAUUCCAGGUGUAGCGGUGAAAUGCGUAGAUAUCUGGAGGAACACCGGUGGCGAAGGCGGCUCUCUGGACCUGUCCUGACGCUCAGGCGCGAAAGCUAGGGGAGCGAACAGG
rnacentral:rRNA from 1 species